AAACAUAUUCACCAUAUUUUUCGUAGCUAUCAACGGGAGUUUAAAUUAUGUAGCAGCAACAUGAUUACCAAUUUUGAGGAAGCACGGUAUAAUUUUCUCAAGAGCAACAUAUGGGUUUUGCGCACCGUUUCGAUCUCGUUGUUUUGUUUCAUCGCAUUAUGGAAUUCGGGCCUUCUUCGAAGUUCAGUAACGUGGAAGACAGUAACGUGGAAGAAGAGUAGUUCUUGGCAUAUAAGAUUGAGGUGUUGUGCAGCUCGAGUUCGGGGUGGGUGGUGUCGAAGAAGCGCCAAGAGAUUUGCAGAUUUGAGGACGUGAGGCGAAAGGCAAGCGAGUAAGCGAUAAGGUUGCUGCUGGAAGCUCCGUUGCUAAAUGUUUUUUUGUGGCGACACAUUAGGGUCGUCACAAUUAGUACCCUUUUGUGGCGACCAAACUUGCCACAAAAAGGAACAACGAAAAGUUUCACCAACUAGAUUAUUGGUGGGUCGCCACAGAAUAGUGGGGUUUAGUUGCGACGAAAGUCGCCCCUAAUUCUCCACGCUUUUAGGUCGCCGCAAAAGAGUUGAACUAUCUAGUGGCAAGUAUAGGGUCGCCACAAACUUGAAAAAAAAAUACAAUUAAUUGCUCAACAAUAUAAAAGUUGUUCACUACCCAUAAAAGACAACACAAACUCAAUAAGAGUAGCCUCAGAACUUUUUAAUGCCAUAAUAUAAAGUAAAUAUUUCAUUAAUACAUCAUCAUGGUAUUUACACAUGAAAAGAAAUCAUCAUUAUAAUAUCUUCAAACUCCUUGUUAACAAUUUCUAUUAUCGAGCAACUUUGUCCCUGUCAUCGAAAAAAGAAGAAGCAAAUAUUCACUUGGAUAAGUCAAAUAUUAAGCAAGAACGAAUUUGAGAAAUUCUAGCAUCAUCUUAAGAGAUAGUAAAACUUAAAAUGAAGUAAGCAACAUAAUAGAUUUACGCUAAUAGUCUUACUAACAUGAACGGACUACAUAACUUGUUUGACAGUGUAUUUAAUUGUUCUACAACUUACUUCAACCAUGAAACACUAUAAUGUAAGAAUAUCUCGUUAACGGUGUAUAUGCACCAAGUUAGCACAGUGCUCAUCCAGUUCGCACGAUUAUACAAAGAUCGUUAAGGGUACUUUGAUAACAAUUUUUUUUCUUUGGGUAUUUUGGUUCAUUGCCUCUUUUAUUGGGUAAUAUAGUUUCCGGACUCAAUUUAAGGGUGUAUUCGGAUAAACUUUUGUGCCGGAUGGGCAGCGAUUGCAAUUAAGUUCUAUGAGGGCAGAACCAAGUAAUAUUUUAUCUUUUAUGUUUUUUUCUUGUUGUUUUACUCAUAGUUGAUUUGAAGGCCUAAAAGUUUAAACCAUUAAGAUAGCUAAAAUUAAUUCAUAUCUUUUAGUUAUCAAAUGAAGUCUACUAAUCUCUGAAUUGGGAUGUUUGGAUUAACAAGUUCAAUUCAAAAAAAAAAAAAAAUCUAAUUUUACAUAGACAUUGCAAAUUUAUAACGACCAUUGUUGUGAAACUAGCUAUAAACUACAAUACAAAGUUAGAGUGUGUUUGGCCUAGCGGUUUUGAGGUCAAAAGCGUUUGUUUUCGAGAAAAACACUUAUUUUGGAUAUUUGAGGUGUUUGGCCAAUUAGUAAAACUGCUUUAAGUAAAGGCAGAAGCAGUUUUUCUGUGGUUCUUGAAAAAAGCAGAAGCAGAAGCAGAAAAUUAUUUUUUUCAAGAUAAAAAUAUCCCUGCCAUAAAUACCUAUUUAUCAAGUAUAUCCCUCAUUAAUCCAUUAAUAUCUAAUCAAUAACUCUUUGUGUCAAAUUUUAAUUUGUGGAAUGAUUUUGAAUUUUGUUUUGGUUGUAAUUUCUUAUUACAUUUAAAUCAUCAUGUUGAUAUUAUAUCAAUAUUUAAUAUUUGUUUUUAUAUAUCUAUGUAGUAUAUUUAAUAUUUUUGGUAACUAAAGCAUUUUAUUACCAGGGAAUAAGUGGAUACAUAGUGUUAGAGCCAUAACCCUCUAGAGUUGGACAUAAGCCCCAACUUCUAAUUCAUCUUACCUAGCUAGUCAACAACCACACAAUACAUUAAGCCACCUGACUACAAAAGAAAAACUACACACGCCUGAAAUGCACUAAGGUUUUUUUUUUUUUUUUUUUUUUAAUUUUAAUAUUAUUGAAUAAACAAUAAAGUACAUAUCAAAAGAGGCUGUACAGAAACAACCCUCACCUACCUGAAUGGAACACGCUCCAUUCAUUACAUAGUUGGUAGGAUUUCCAAAUAAGCUCACAAAAGAAUUGGGGGUAUCCCUAUGUACAUCAAAUCCAUCAAGGAACAUCAAAAGUAUAAAAUCUAUCUAUAUCCCUAUUCCUUUGAAUGGCUUUAUGAUUAUAUAUUGGCUUAAUACCUAGAUGGACCCUUAAACUUGACAUGUUUUGUAAGAUAGACAUAUAAACUUACAAGGUGACCAGAUAGACACUUAAACUUACUCAAAGUGUAUUUUUCAAGUUUUCCAGUUGUUUUGAAAACAAAAACUAUAUUUUUCAAACACUCACAAUUUUCAUGGCCAAACAAGCCCUAAAUAUAUCACAAAAUAUUUUUUUUAAAAUGCAAAAAUAAGGCAAACGCAUAUACAUGAGACUAUAAAUGUGCACUUAAACCAAUAAAUACUCGCUAAUCGCAAUUUUGCAGCUUUCAAUUAACUCGGUUUUUUUUUUACACUUGAAUAAUUAAAAAACAAUAACUUUAACCAAUAAAAAUCCUUAAAAAAAGAAAUUUCAA